AUUGAACGCUGGCGGCAAGCCUAACACAUGCAAGUCGAACGGUAACAGGAAGCAGCUUGCUGCUUCGCUGACGAGUGGCGGACGGGUGAGUAAUGUCUGGGAAACUGCCUGAUGGAGGGGGAUAACUACUGGAAACGGUAGCUAAUACCGCAUAACGUCGCAAGACCAAGAGGGGGACCUUAGGGCCUCUUGCCAUCGGAUGUGCCCAGAUGGGAUUAGCUAGUAGGUGGGGUAACGGCUCACCUAGGCGACGAUCCCUAGCUGGUCUGAGAGGAUGACCAGCCACACUGGAACUGAGACACGGUCCAGACUCCUACGGGAGGCAGCAGUGGGGAAUAUUGCACAAUGGGCGCAAGCCUGAUGCAGCCAUGCCGCGUGUAUGAAGAAGGCCUUCGGGUUGUAAAGUACUUUCAGCGGGGAGGAAGGGAGUAAAGUUAAUACCUUUGCUCAUUGACGUUACCCGCAGAAGAAGCGCCGGCUAACUCCGUG
rnacentral:rRNA from 1 species